rnacentral:rRNA from 1 species
GAUGAACGCUGGCGGCGUGCCUAAUACAUGCAAGUCGAGCGAACAGAUGAGGAGCUUGCUCCUCUGACGUUAGCGGCGGACGGGUGAGUAACACGUGGAUAACCUACCUAUAAGACUGGGAUAACUUCGGGAAACCGGAGCUAAUACCGGAUAAUAUAUUGAACCGCAUGGUUCAAUAGUGAAAGACGGUUUUGCUGUCACUUAUAGAUGGAUCCGCGCCGCAUUAGCUAGUUGGCAAGGUAACGGCUUACCAAGGCAACGAUGCGUAGCCGACCUGAGAGGGUGAUCGGCCACACUGGAACUGAGACACGGUCCAGACUCCUACGGGAGGCAGCAGUAGGGAAUCUUCCGCAAUGGGCGAAAGCUUGACGGAGCAACGCCGCGUGAGUGAUGAAGGUCUUCGGAUCGUAAAACUCUGUUAUUAGGGAAGAACAAAUGUGUAAGUAACUAUGCACGUCUUGACGGUACCUAAUCAGAAAGCCACGGCUAACUACGUG